AGAGUUUGAUCAGUGGCUCAGAACGAACGCUGGCGGCAUGCCUAACACAUGCAAGUCGAACGAAGCCUUCGGGCUUAGUGGCGCACGGGUGCGUAACGCGUGGGAAUCUGCCCUUGGGUUCGGAAUAACAGUUAGAAAUGACUGCUAAUACCGAAUGAUGUCUUCGGACCAAAGAUUUAUCGCCCAAGGAUGAGCCCGCGUCGGAUUAGCUAGUUGGUGAGGUAAAGGCUCACCAAGGCGACGAUCCGUAGCUGGUCUGAGAGGAUGAUCAGCCACACUGGGACUGAGACACGGCCCAGACUCCUACGGGAGGCAGCAGUGGGGAAUAUUGGACAAUGGGCGAAAGCCUGAUCCAGCAAUGCCGCGUGAGUGAUGAAGGCCUUAGGGUUGUAAAGCUCUUUUACCCGGGAUGAUAAUGACAGUACCGGGAGAAUAAGCCCCGGCUAACUCCGUG
rnacentral:rRNA from 1 species